AUUGAACGCUGGCGGCAUGCCUUACACAUGCAAGUCGAACGGUAACAGAUCUUCGGAUGCUGACGAGUGGCGAACGGGUGAGUAAUACAUCGGAACGUGCCUAGUAGUGGGGGAUAACUACUCGAAAGAGUGGCUAAUACCGCAUGAGAUCUACGGAUGAAAGCAGGGGAUCGCAAGACCUUGUGCUACUAGAGCGGCCGAUGGCAGAUUAGGUAGUUGGUGGGAUAAAAGCUUACCAAGCCGACGAUCUGUGGCUGGUCUGAGAGGACGAUCAGCCACACUGGGACUGAGACACGGCCCAGACUCCUACGGGGGGCAGCAGUGGGGAAUUUUGGACAAUGGGCGCAAGCCUGAUCCAGCAAUGCCGCGUGCAGGAUGAAGGCCUUCGGGUUGUAAACUGCUUUUGUACGGAACGAAAAGCCCUGGGUUAAUACCCUGGGGUCAUGACGGUACCGUAAGAAUAAGCACCGGCUAACUACGUGCCAGCAGCCGCAGUAAGAC
rnacentral:rRNA from 1 species